rnacentral:rRNA from 1 species
CCUACGGGGGCUGCAGUGGGGAAUAUUGGACAAUGGGCGAAAGCCUGAUCCAGCCAUGCCGCGUGUGUGAAGAAGGCCUUCGGGUUGUAAAGCACUUUCAGUGGGGAAGAAAGCCUUGGGGCUAAUACCCUCGAGGAAGGACAUCACCCACAGAAGAAGCACCGGCUAACUCCGUGCCAGCAGCCGCGGUAAUACGGAGGGUGCGAGCGUUAAUCGGAAUUACUGGGCGUAAAGCGCGCGUAGGCGGUCUGAUAAGCCGGUUGUGAAAGCCCCGGGCUCAACCUGGGAACGGCAUCCGGAACUGUCAGGCUAGAGUGCAGGAGAGGAAGGUAGAAUUCCCGGUGUAGCGGUGAAAUGCGUAGAGAUCGGGAGGGAUACCAGUGGCGAAGGCGGCCUUCUGGACUGACACUGACGCUGAGGUGCGAAAGCGUGGGUAGCAAACAGGAUUAGAUACCCGUGUAGUC